AUAAACUGUGACCUACUGGUUGGAUUCUCUCUGUUCUCAUGUUUCUUACAUGUUUGUCCCCUGACAGCCGGGUCCUAAUGUUUUUUGAGCAACACACCAUACUAUGACGUUUUUACAAUGAUGGUUCUACUAUGGAACCAGUUUGACAUGUUCAGGUGUUCUUUGUGUGAAAACUCAGAGAUUUCAGGGAUCAGAAGGUGGCUUUCAACUUUCUUUGUUAACUUUCUGCUUCAACUUUAAACUAAAUUUCCUUCACUAACCCAGCCCUCUGGACUUCCAGUAAGCUGUGUUCCUAUUGGCUGUCCAGGUGGCUGUGUUCCUAUUGGCUGUCCAGGUGGCUGCUUGGUGUUAUCAGGAACACCUGAGCAGCUCAGUGUCUUCCUGCUUUAUUUAGCUGCAGAC
ensembl:lncRNA